AUACUUACCUGGCGCAGAUACUCUGUGAUCAGGAAGGUGGUUUUUCUGGAGUGAGGCUCAUCCGCUGUACUUGGGAUGUGCCGACCCCUGAGAGUUCCCCAAAUGAAGAAAACCUGAGUGAAGAAUUGGGGUAGUGGGGCACCGUGUUCGCACUCUGACCUG